AGCUCCAAUAGCGUAUAUUAAAGUUGUUGCAGUUAGAACGCUCGUAGUCGGAUUUCGGGGCGGGGCGACCGGUCUGCCGAUGGGUACGCACUGGUCGGCGCGUCCUUCCUUCCGGAGACCGUGCCUACUCUUAACUGAGCGGGGGCGGGAGACGGAUCGUUUACUUUGAAAAAUCAGAGUGUUCAAGCAGGCAGUUUGCUCUUGCAUGGAUUAGCAUGGGAUAAUGAAAUAGGACUUUGGUGCUAUUUUGUUGGUUUCGAGUACCGAAGUAAUGAUUAAUAGGGAUAGUCAGGGGCACUUGUAUUCCGUUGAGAGAGGUGAAAUUCUUAGACCAAUGGAAGACAAACUACUG
rnacentral:rRNA from 1 species